AUUGAUCGCGGGACGAAAAUAUGCCGGAAAGGUCAAAAAUCGCGUAAACCGACCAAGAAGCUCGAGGUGUCCCUAUGCAUAUGGCCAGGACGUUCUGUCUAUAACAUCAGCAGCUGAGUGUCAACACAAGGAGGAUGUGUCGACGUGCAUGAAAGCUGAACAUGCAGCUUGACACAUAGAAGCACGAGGUGGAACGGCCAAGCACGAGGUGUCUCCGCGCAUGCAACCGAAGCAUGCUGAUCGACAUGUGUGUGCUUGGGUGGCGUCUUGCAUGAGUUCCAGUCAUGCAGCCUCACAUCUGGGAGGAGUGGUGGCGUCCUGCAUGUGUCCUGGACAUGC
rnacentral:lncRNA from 1 species